CGCCUCCGCAGCCCGCGGAGCGGGCCGGGCCGUGCUUGCCGGCUCAGUGCCCGGGAACCCGGGUUCCGACCCCGCGGAAGCGGCC
rnacentral:tRNA from 1 species